CGCACAUUGCGCCCUUUGGUAUUCCGAGGGGCAUGCCCGUUCGAGCGUCAUUUCACCAAUCAAGCCCCGCUUGGUAUUGGGCCGUAAGCGUCGCCUAGGCCUCAAUGUCUCGCGGCUGGAACCCCCCGAAUCUCAGCGUUGUGGAAUUAAAUUCGCUCUGCCGAGGGGUGGUCCAUAGCCGUUAAACACUCUAAUCAAAGGUUGACCUCGGAUCGGGUAGGGAUACCCGCUGAACUUAA
rnacentral:misc_RNA from 1 species